CGCACCUUCUCCUCAUACUGCUGGUUCAGAGUGUUCAUGAUGAUGGCUGUUGUAAAAAUAAAUGUGUUUUAAAAAGGAAUAAAACCGCUAGAGAACCGAGCUAUUCACUGGAAGGAGUGUCCGUGUGGAGCCUGCAGCAUCCAGAGUGAGAACAAUUUUCUACCAAAGAAACUGUCUCGAUGUUGACAGCGUGAUUCAGGGACAAUGAAGAAGCAUACCUGGUCUCCAAUGUUCUCUGGCUGUCCCUUUACAGCCACCCUGGCGAUGCCGGGCAGGUCAAUGAGCGUCAGGUCUGGAACAUCAGGAGAGGCGAUCUCCAGACUGAUGAGGUCAUCACUGAUCCCCACCCCGACCCCGGCCAUUUCAUCCUGAGCUGAAGCAAGAGAACACCGUGUAUGAUGAUUACAAAGGAUGGAAGUGAACUGAAACCUAAAAAAAUAAAAUCAGCAGCUCCAUCAAUUCUUAUGUGUAAGAAUACUGUACCUUCUCUAAUCUUUUUCUCCACAUCUGCAGGGUCUUCUAUCUCUUCCUCAAAGUCUUGGUAGCUUAUCUUUCCGUACCACUCCUCUCCUUCUUUCUUUCUCUUCAUCUUCAGUUCGAGAGGACAUCUUGUCACAAUGCCUGAAUUACGAAAGAGUGAAAAUGAGAAAGCAGGAAAAUGAGUCAAAACCAGUGUGUUAAAUUAUGAAAAGCAGUAGUAGGUUACAUAUACUAGUAUUAUAAAAGUAAGAUGACUAUAAGAUACAAAAUAUGGUCCAUGCAUAAUAAAUAUGCUAGAGAGAAGUCUAACACAAUUUUUUUUCUUUCCAAAAUCCACGACCCAAAUGUAAACAGGGACAUGUCUAUAAUAUGGAUCUACAUGUACACCUGGUAGACACUAUACCUGUUCUUAUGCAUAACAAGCCAUCAUUGGCAUUUAGUACAAAGCACCUAGCCAGGAGUGGACUAUAAUGACUGGCUGCAUCCAACAACUUAGUUCUUUUCAAGCAUACUGAACCCUAAACUGGACACUCCCUGACUCUGUUUUAAUUAUUAUUUUGACAUUUUAUGCCCUUAUUAGACAGUGUCAGUAGAAAGAUGACAGGACCCAAAGGAGAGAGAUCCAACAAAGUCCCCCAGCUGAACCUUGAAAAGGGAUGUUGCAGAUUAUGGUCAGAAUCUUAAACUCUAAGUAGAUAACAACCACAUAAGAUACCUGUUGGUAAUAAUGGAGAAAUAGUUACUGUACAACAUUAUCACCUAAUUUCUAUAUCUCUCAGACUUUUAGAUUUGCAGAGAGAAUUUAUUUAUUUUAAAUCCAUACUUAUAUUUAUUCACUGGGAGUGACCCUGCAAUACAGCACUACAAUGAACAGCUGCCAGGGAAUAAUGUUGUUGCCUACAAGUUGGCCUGGUGCCCUCACCUACACCAGAGAACCUGCUGUAAAACCAGCCAAGCCGGUUUGGACAUUUCCAUCAUUUCCAUAAUUGAUAAUGGAGUCGUGCUCACUAAAAUAGAAAAUGACAUUAAAAAUUAGCAGUGAGUGCCAACUGGUAUGGAGCAUCUAGCAAGAUGAUGGAGGAGACCCAAACAGAGCGAGAUGGAAACGUAUUAGUGGCCAGAAACACAAAUCUUAACCAAUGCUUAUGUUGCUCCAUGUCUGCUGAAUUUGUAGGCAACGGAUAACUCUUUAACAAAAACAGCCUUUAUAAAGGCGAUAAUGUGUCAGAGCAGUGUCUUUCUCAGCUUGUUGUGUGUCUUCUUCCCCAUGGCCAACAGCCAGUGAAUGCAGCUUUAAAGCUCAUCUGACAGCCAACUGAUGGUUGUUUCUAAAGUUUUCUUUUCUUCUGAAGUUGACCGAUGGUACUUAUGAAUCCCAGUGUUUCAAUAUUAUUGCACUGUAACUGUAUUUCUGCUCUAUUCCAUUUGUAUUUCAUUUCAUAAAUCUUCAUUUUAUUCAAUCACAA